GAUGAAGAACGCAGCGAAAUGCGAUACGUAAUGUGAAUUGCAGAAUUCCGUGAAUCAUCGAAUCUUUGAACGCACAUUGCACCCGGUGGUAUUCCGCCGGGUAUGCCUGUCUGAGCGUCAUUUCUACCCUCAAGCCCCGGCUUGGUGUUGGCGGAUUGCCCGCUGUGGCAACCGCUAAAAAUUAGUGGCGGUAGCACCCGUGUUCCCUGUACAGUACAAUUCUUACAGCGGCCUGCGGGGGCCCACCAGCCUCACACCCCACCAGAAAAGAAAGUUGACCUCAGAUCAGGUAGGAUUACCCGCUGAACUUAAGCAUAUCAAUAAGCGGAGGA
rnacentral:misc_RNA from 1 species